UCAAUUCUACGUGGGCCUUGAUGCCAUGAAUACCAAAUCCAUAUACCUAAAUCAAUAAGACAAAGGCUUGAACUUUUGAUCUUGCUAUAUUUAUUACCUUGUUAUAUUUCACUGAUGAGUAUUGACCCUCCAAAAGCAGAUUUAUUACCUUGCUAUAUUUCAAUGCUGACUAUUUUAUUUGGCAUUUGCAUGAAAUCCAUGGUCUGUUUAACAGGUUUUGAUUGUUCUGGUCUUUCAUUGCUUUAUAGUUUGUUUAAAUUUGUAUACUUUUAGUCAUGUUAAUUAGGUAUUUUGCAUUGCUCACUAAUUCGCGUCAUUGUGUAAUUCCAUUGCAUAGGAAAAAUACAAGAAUAAGCCUUGGCUAUUGGAUGAUGAAACGGGCCAAUCUCAGUACCAUGGUCACCUUGAGGGUGCACAGUCUGCCACAUACUACCUACUAAUGCUGCAGGGAAAGUAGUUUGUUGCUAUUCCUGCCGGUUCUUGGUGUUGGUGGCUAUUCGUACCUUCUGGAGCCUCUCUGGUGGUUCGGCAUGAUCACUGUGUAAACAAAAUAUAUAGAAAUUAAUUCAGAUUUCGGCUUCAAAGGCUUGCAGAGAAAGCAGAACGCACAGAUUCGCCUUCAACCACAGAUUCGCCGAUUCGCCUUCAACCACAGAUUCGCCUUUGAGUUUCCGACUUCCUCUGAUCGCAAGAUUUCGGCUUCAAAGGCUUGCAGAGAAAGCAGAAAAUAGAACGAUUUAUUUUCAGAUUUUCCCUCUGUCGUUGCAAGUGGUGCUGAAGUCAGGUUGUGCAAGAUCAUCCAGUGUUAAUGACUGUAUGACUAAGGAGAUGCUUGGAGCUGCGGGUUAGUAAAUAUGUUAUCUAGGCCUCUUCUUCUUCGGUAUUUUCUGAUCG